rnacentral:rRNA from 1 species
AGUGAAUAGAUACCCUGGUAGUCCCAGCUGUAAACGAUGCGCGUUAGGUGUAUCGGUGACCACGAGUCACCGAGGUGCCGAAGAGAAAUCGUGAAACGUGCCGCCUGGGAAGUACGGUCGCAAGGCUGAAACUUAAAGGAAUUGGCGGGGGAGCACCACAACAGGUGGAGCCUGCGGUUUAAUCGGACUCAACGCCGGAAACCUCACCGGAUAAGACAGCUGUAUGAUAGUCGGGCUGAAGACUCUACUUGACUAGCUGAGAGGAGGUGCAUGGCCGUCGUCAGUUCGUACUGUGAAGCAUCCUGUUAAGUCAGGCAACGAGCGAGACCCACGCCAACAGUUGCCAGCUCGUCCUCCGGGAUGGUGGGGACACUGUUGGGACCGCCUCUGCUAAAGAGGAGGAAGGAAUGGGCAACGGUAGGUCAGCAUGCCCCGAAUUAUCCGGGCUACACGCGGGCUACAAUGGGUGGGACAAUGGGUAUCGACACCGAAAGGUGAAGGCAAUCU